rnacentral:rRNA from 1 species
UACGUAGGGUGCGAGCGUUAAUCGGAAUUACUGGGCGUAAAGCGUGCGCAGGCGGUUCGUUGUGUCGGCGGUGAAAGCCCCGGGCUUAACCUGGGAAUGGCCGUCGAAACUGGCGAACUGGAGUGUGGCAGAGGGGGGUGGAAUUCCGCGUGUAGCAGUGAAAUGCGUAGAGAUGCGGAGGAACACCGAUGGCGAAGGCAAUCCCCUGGGCCUGUACUGACGCUCAUGCACGAAAGCGUGGGGAGCAAACAGG